CUUUUUAAAGGCCCCACCCCCUCGACACUGCUGCAGUGGGGAUGAAGUUUCCAGCACUUACCUUUGGAGGACUUAUUCAACCAUGACCCUUGCUUCUCAUUCAUGGAGGAAGAGGAGUGAAGAAUCCAAGUGGCAGACUUGGGAGCUCUAGCCCAUCCUUUUCCCGUCCUCUUAUUUUUGGGGGUCAGCCUGCCUGCUUAGCACUAGCCAAGGAGGAAAUUUUAGAGGAAUUAAUCUUCAAUUCAUGUGACUGAUAA
rnacentral:lncRNA from 1 species